GACGAACGCUGGCGGCGUGCUUAACACAUGCAAGUCGAACGGUAAGGCCCUUCGGGGUACACGAGUGGCGAACGGGUGAGUAACACGUGAGUAACCUGCCCUUGACUCUGGGAUAACUGCUAGAAAUGGUAGCUAAUACCGGAUACGACCCUCGGUGGCAUCACCAGGGGGUGGAAAGAAUUUCGGUCAAGGAUGGACUCGCGGCCUAUCAGCUAAUUGGUGAGGUAACGGCUCACCAAGGCGACGACGGGUAGCCGGCCUGAGAGGGUGACCGGCCACACUGGGACUGAGACACGGCCCAGACUCCUACGGGAGGCAGCAGUGGGGAAUAUUGCACAAUGGGCGCAAGCCUGAUGCAGCAACGCCGCGUGAGGGAUGACGGCCUUCGGGUUGUAAACCUCUUUUAGUAGGGAAGAAGCGAAAGUGACGGUACCUGCAGAAAAAGCACCGGCUAACUACGUGCCAGCAGCCGCAGUAA
rnacentral:rRNA from 1 species